AGAUUGAACGCUGGCGGCAUGCCUUACACAUGCAAGUCGAACGGUAGAGUAGCAAUACUUGAGAGUGGCGAACGGGUGAGUAAUAUAUCGGAACGUGCCCAGUCGUGGGGGAUAACGUAGAGAAAUUUACGCUAAUACCGCAUACGAUCUAAGGAUGAAAGCGGGGGACCGUAAGGCCUCGCGCGAUUGGAGCGGCUGAUAUCAGAUUAGGUUGUUGGUGAGGUAAAAGCUCACCAAGCCGACGAUCUGUAGCUGGUUUGAGAGAACGACCAGCCACACUGGGACUGAGACACGGCCCAGACUCCGUACGGGAGCAGCAGGUGGGGUAAUUUGGACAAUGGGACGAAAGCCUGAUCCAGCAAUGCCGCGUGCAGGAAGAGGCCGUUCGGUUAGUAACUGUCUUUGUACGGUAACGAACGGU
rnacentral:rRNA from 1 species